CCACACCACCCCAAACCCUAACACACUUACACUACGCACUCACCUCUCACUCUCAGCCGCACACACCCUCACACACCUCACUCACCCUCUUCCUCACCAACAGACACACAGACACGGUUAUGAGAAGAAAGGAAGAAAGAAAAGGGAAAUGGAGAUCGGGGAGUAAGGGAGACGGAGAGAAGAAAGAGAGAAGGGAGAAGGCCGCGCCAGCACAGGGAGCUCGCCGCCGCCGUCACGUAACUACCGUCACAGUGCCGCCGAGCAGGGCCGCGAAGAGAAGAGAGAACUGCUGCCGUGCGUCCAGCCGCUGAGCCGUCGUCGUUGACACCACCGAGGGGAGGAGGAGUGCGAGCUGAGGAGCUGUCGCCGAUGUCCCGCGCCGUCGUGUCUCACCCGCCGUUGCUGUCCGUCGCCCCACUUGUCACUGCCGCCGUUGUGCCGUCGAGAGGGAAGCCGUCGUGUCACACAGAGAAGAGAGGAGAGUGCACAGGGAGCAGAGGAGAGUGAGGGGAGAUCUGUGCCCAGCCACAACCGCUUUUGCUGCCCGAAACCCCGCUGCUGCCACCAGAAAACACUGCCGGUAAGGUUUUAAGUAUUGGGUUUCGUUUCUUUUGAGAUUUUGGGAGCUUUAUUGUUGCUGCAUGUUGUUUCAUUUGCCGUCACCGGAGUCUGGUCGCCGCUGCCGCUUGAGGUGGCUGCCGGAACUGCCGCCAAACUGGUUCAGAGACCGCCACUACUUCGUUUUCUUAUUACAGUACAUUUUGAAAACCCCUGCGUUAGUGUUCGGGUAUGUUUGGUUAAAAACUUUUAGGUUUCGUAGUUCUGAUGUUGCAUGUCGUGUAAGUGUUGCUGUGGCUGCUGCGUCGUCCUUUAUUCCAGUAAGUGUUUCUAUCUCGGAAUCCUCGCCAUUAAUUCUCUGUUAUGUGUUUUAAGAUUUCCACAAUGUUAAUGUUUUUAGGAAUUAGAAACUGAGUUUGCAUGUUGCUAUUGAGAAAGCAAGCGGAGCUAAGGUUUCAGUUGCCGUUGAUUCGGAUCGAGACGAAAGAAAUUCUAUGAGGCGUUUGGGUUAUGGUUUUGACUUAUCGAGGUAGGGACAUUUUUUAGAAAACUAAACUUAUUCAUCUAGAAUUGUUUUAUAUGGAUACUGAUAUGAGAAAUGUACCUUUGGUAAUUGUAUAAGUCUUGUGUAUUGUUUGAUUGUCUUGGAUGGAUGUGAAUGCUUGUUUGACUGGAUUAUUAUUGGGUUUGUGAAACAAACUGUUUUUGAAGUGUUUCUUUAAAGUUUUGAAAUCGAUUUUAAUCUGUUGGAAAUCGAUUUGAGUUUGAAUUGGUUUUCUAGAAAUAUGAAAAUGGUAUGCACUUUUGGAUUUAGCUUGAUUUUGAAUUGAUUUGGUUUUGAACCCGUUAAAGGGGGUUGCAGAAUGGUUUGGUUGGGACUCGGAAAGGGUGACAAAGUCCAAGUUUUAGGGGAGGUAUUGCCGAAUUUUCUAUAAAAUCUGAAACUUUGUUUAAAAUGUUAUUUAAAAAGUUUGAAUUUGAGAAAUCGUAUUAUUUGAUUUAUUAAGGAAAUUGUAUGUUUCGAAUUUAAUUUAAUUGAGAAAAACAUAUGUCUUGAGCUUUAAUUUAUUCAGAAAAAAGAAUUACUUUACAAUGUUAAAUAACUUAAGAAAAGUAUUAUCCUAAGCUCGAUUUUAUCUAUAAAAAGAGUUUAUGUUUUGAAUUGGACUUAAGGAAUUCGUUCAGAGGAGCUUUAAUGAAUUUACAAGAAAAUGGACUUUGAUUGAAUGAUGUCGUUUUGUGAUGUUUUUGGAAAAGGUUGAAAGAAUUGGUUUCUAAGAAUGAAAAUGAGAUUGGUUUUGGAUUUAACUUGGUUUGAAAUUACAUGAUUUGAUUUAGAAACUUCCUUUGAAUAACUCGAAUUAAGGAAACAAUGAUUUUUAAGAAUCUUUACUGAAUUUAUGGAAAUGAGGUCGGUCGUUUUUUCCUUAAAGUCUUGAGACCUUGUCGUGAAUUUUAAUUAAUAACUUUUGAUUUUAAAGUGAUUGAGCGAAUGGUUUGAAAAUGAAUGAUUUUGAGUAGUUUAGAAGAGAUUUUUAAUUUGGCAUGGGUUUGAUGUCGUUUGGGAGUUGGAAAGAUGUUGCAAAAAGUGACUUUGUUGAGAAAGGAAAUUGAUUUGAGAAAAAGUGGUUUUAUCCCACCUGCAGUGAGGAUGGUAGUUUUAUCCCGCUCACGUAUUGAUAAAUUGUUUAGCAAGGGCGGUGGCGUGAUCCCGCUUGCAUAUUGUAUUGUGUGCCCAGUAAGGAUGGUGGAUGGUUUAAUCCCGCUUACUGUGGAGGUAAGGAUGAUGGUUUAAUCUCGCUUAUCCGAGUCGGGUCUAGCAACAGAAUCGACGCGUGAGCUCACAGCCAAUAGGACAAGCAUGCAUCACAUGCAUCUAUGUGACAUUGUUUGGGUGUGUAUAUUGUAAUUGGUUUGUCUAUAUGAAUAAUUAUGUUUAAUUGCUAACUGCUCUACUUGAAGUAACUGCUUGAUUGUGCUUGAACCUUACUUGUGUUUGUGAUUGAAAAUUGGGUGGAUUGUGAUGGAUUGGCUGUGGAUUGAGUUGUUUGGGCCGUGGUUGAUUAUGAGAUGGGCCGAAGGCCGUGUUUGGUUUGAGUUUUUGGUUUCGAAUAGUAUGAAAAACUAAACUAGUUCAGUAUAGACUUAAUGAACCUAUGCUUGGAACAGUUUGGUCAUUCAUACUGUUUAGGAAAAAAUUUUAAAAAGGCUUUUUGAUUUUUGAAGAAUUAAUAGUUUUCUCUUUUAGAAAGGAUUUUGGAUUUUCGAUAUUAAAAAUUUGGUUUUGAAAAGAUGCAUAAGGUGGUUAUUAAUCACUGUAACGAUUUUAUUUUCAUGUAGCCUAUUAUAGUAAUUCUCUAACCCUAUAGUGAGAACUAGUGAGGACGAUAUUCUCACUCCCCUACAGGUCUUUUUCUUUUUAGGUUAUGGACNNNNNNNNNNNNNNNNNNNNNNNNNNNNNNNNNNNNNNNNNNNNNNNNNNNNNAAAGAGCUUAUUUCUUUUCUAUUUAGACGAUAUUUUUGUAUUGUUUUAGUAUUUAUGUUUCCCUUGCCUUUAACUUUGCAAGUUCUGUAAGAGGGAUAAGAUUUGAUAUGAAAUGCUUGUAAAUUAACAAUAUGUAUCACUAAAGAAAAUAGAACAUUUGUAACAAAAAUUUUGUAUCAAAUUUAAAAUCGUUACAAAAAAAAUUUUUUGUAAUAAUAAUUGGUGAUUGUUACAAAAGAAUAAUAUUUUGUAACAAUCUAUUUUUUUGUGACAAAUUAUGUUAGCUUUUGUAGCGAGC
rnacentral:lncRNA from 1 species